AGCCCAGGGAGACUCAGAUCGCACUCAACUGAGGGGCAGGUCAGUUGUCCUUCGAUCCGACCCCCAGACGAGUAAGACCGUGCAAUACAGGCUCCGGAGUCCCUGCCCAGAGCCCGCUAGCUUCACUAUGGGAGUGACCUCACUCAGGUGGAUGUACUCGUCUCAGAAAUGUUAUUCACUAAGUGCGGAGACCUGAUGGCCUAAAUACAGGAUAUGAGGGUACCUUGUGACGAGACGAACAAGUCGUGCGUCUGAUUGU